rnacentral:lncRNA from 1 species
GAGGCAGACACACUCUCAAUCUGAGUAGGCACCAUCUAAUCAGCUACCAAUGCGGCUAGAAUAAAGCAGGCAGAAGAAGCUGGAAAGAACAGACUUGCUGAGCCAUCUGGCCUUCAUCUUCCUCUUGUGCUGGAUGCUUCCAGCCUUUGAACAUCAGACUCUAAGUUCUUCAGCUUUUGGACUCUCGGACUUACACCAGUGAUUUGCCAGGGGCUCUUGUGCCUUUGGCCACAGACUGAAGGCUGCACUGUUGGCUUCCCUACUUUUGAGGUUUUGGGACUCAAACUAGCUUCCUUGAUCCUCAGCUUGCAGACGGACUAUUGUGGGACUUCACCUUGUGAUCAUCUGCUAAAAUGCUGGUUUCAACCUGUAAAGAUUUCUGGGCCCCACCAGUCAGCACGUCUCACGGUCUUCACAGCCCCAGAUUCCGGGAGACAAUGCAUCUAAAACGAACAGCGGCUGGGAACGGUGGAGGAUACCUUCACGAUAGUUGCUUCCAGAGAAAGGCAUGCAAGUCUAAUUUUAAUGGAAAAAGAAUAGGCUCUAAAGCAGGGCUGGCUGCAUCACACCUGAUCUGUCUAGAGCGCUCUUAUUUCAGUCCCAGAGAGGAAGCGCCCAGCCCCGGACUACAGAGCUGUGAAUGAACCCACGCAGGAUCCUCAAAAUGCUUUUGGAACCAGCUUCAUCAUCUUACAGUUUUCCCCAUUAAUAAGUGAAUAGAUCUCUGCUGCCUGCCUAUGUUUGUAUGAGAGUUGUAUUUUAACUUUUUAAAUUUAUACCUUGAAAAAUAAAAAUUGAGUUUUCAAAGAAAAA